rnacentral:rRNA from 1 species
AACGUAGGGGGCGAGCGUUGUCCGGAAUGACUGGGCGUAAAGGGUGCGUAGGCGGCAUAAUAAGUUAGAAGUGAAAUACCCAGAGCUUAACUCGGGUGCUGCUUCUAAGACUGUUGAGCUUGAGUGCGGGAGAGGUUAAUGGAAUUCCUAGUGUAGCGGUGGAAUGCGUAGAUAUUAGGAGGAACACCAGAGGCGAAGGCGAUUAACUGGACCGUAACUGACGCUGAGGCACGAAAGUGUGGGUAGCAAACAGG